GACGAACGCUGGCGGCGUGCUUAACACAUGCAAGUCGAACGGAAGGCCCUUCUUUUGUUGGGUUGUCGGGUGGGGAAAGGGGUAAGAACCCGUGGGGUAACUGGCCUUGACUUUGGGAUUACUUCCGGAAACUGGGGCUAAUACCCGAUAGGGGCCCCUUCUUCCUGGUGGGGGGUGGGAAGGUUCGGCGGUUGGGGAUGGACUCGCGGCUUAUCAGCUUGUUGGUGGGGUAGUGGCUUACCAAGGCUUUGACGGGUAGCCGGCCUGAGAGGGUGACCGGCCACAUUGGGACUGAGAUACGGCCCAGACUCCUACGGGAGGCAGCAGUGGGGAAUAUUGCACAAUGGGCGGAAGCCUGAUGCAGCAACGCCGCGUGCGGGAUGACGGCCUUCGGGUUGUAAACCGCUUUCGCCUGUGACGAAGCGUGAGUGACGGUAAUGGGUAAAGAAGCACCGGCUAACUACGUG
rnacentral:rRNA from 1 species